rnacentral:lncRNA from 1 species
AAAGACCAUAAAAUGUUCUCUCAUAAAAAUUAAUGACCUCCAAUUUAAUUUCAUAGCUAACAAUUAAUACCACAAUAAAUUGAUAAAUUAGUAUUUAUAAGCUGUAAUCCUGGAAGACACGGCUAAUGACGAAAGUUACAUGCUGCAAAACUAGCUUCCCCGAGAAAGCGACACAGCCUUAAAUGCUGGUAAGGAUUGGUCACUUUCUUCGCUGCUUUCAUGCUAGAAAAAUCUUGACCAUUUUUUUGGAGGUAGAAAUCGACCUAACAAAAUAAAAAUAAAUAAAUAAAUUAAUUCCAAAGUUAAAUAAAAAAUAAUUAAAUUAAAAAUUAUAAGCCUUUUUUUUUAUUGUCAGGUUGUGUGUUCAACAUACCUAGGCUUCUUCAUGAUAUUUGCUUUAUAACUCUCUAGUACAUGAAAGCAGAGGUCGAGUUACGAAGGUAAGAUAACUUUUUAAUUAGGUGGCCAAAACUGAAUAAUUUUCCAGAGAGAACAUAACUAAAAAUUAAAAUCCUUUUCUUACAGAAGCCAUAUAAAGCAUAAAAGCAUCCACCCUACGUCGGACAUCACUGUGCCAGCAAUUUGGCCAAGAUAGUACCAGUACAAUACAUGAAAAAAACUGCAGCUGUUUUCCAGAAUCAGAUUUUGGCUCUCCACAGCUCACAUGCAUACCAUUACCAUCCUCA